ACUUGUGUAUCUCUUAUCCUGAUACGUGGCUCCAGUCCAAUCAGCCACCUGAGGACAAACACAAGAAAUCAAAAUAAGAGCCUCGGGGCCCCUCACAGAGGAUGUGUCCUGACAAAAAUGGGGAACCUGUCUCAAAAA